rnacentral:rRNA from 1 species
ACGCUGGCGGCGUGCCUAAUACAUGCAAGUAGAACGCUGAAGAGAGGAGCUUGCUCUUCUUGGAUGAGUUGCGAACGGGAGAGUAACGCGUAGGUAACCUGCCUUGUAGCGGGUGAUAACUAUUGGAAACGAUAGCUAAUACCGCAUAACAAUGGAUGACACAUGUCAUUUAUUUGAAAGGGGCAAUUGCUCCACUACAAGAUGGACCUGCGUUGUAUUAGCUAGUAGGUGAGGUAACGGCUCACCUAGGCGACGAUACAUAGCCGACCUGAGAGGGUGAUCGGCCACACUGGGACUGAGACACGGCCCAGACUCCUACGGGAGGCAGCAGUAGGGAAUCUUCGGCAAUGGGGGCAACCCUGACCGAGCAACGCCGCGUGAGUGAAGAAGGUUUUCGGAUCGUAAAGCUCUGUUGUAAGUCAAGAACGAGUGUGAGAGUGGAAAGUUCACACUGUGACGGUAGCUUACCAGAAAGGGACGGCUAACUACGUGCCAGCAGCCGCGGUAAUACGUAGGUCCCGAGCGUUGUCCGGAUUUAUUGGGCGUAAAGCGAGCGCAGGCGGUUUGAUAAGUCUGAAGUUAAAGGCUGUGGCUCAACCAUAGUUCGCUUUGGAAACUGUCAAACUUGAGUGCAGAAGGGGAGAGUGGAAUUCCAUGUGUAGCGGUGAAAUGCGUAGAUAUAUGGAGGAACACCGGUGGCGAAAGCGGCUCUCUGGUCUGUAACUGACGCUGAGGCUCGAAAGCGUGGGGAGCGAACAGGAUUAGAUACCCUGGUAGUCCACGCCGUAAACGAUGAGUGCUAGGUGUUGGAUCCUUUCCGGGAUUCAGUGCCGCAGCUAACGCAUUAAGCACUCCGCCUGGGGAGUACGACCGCAAGGUUGAAACUCAAAGGAAUUGACGGGGGCCCGCA